rnacentral:rRNA from 1 species
AUAUAAGGGCAUUCCCUAGUACGGCGAGUGAAGCGGGAAGAGCUCAAAUUUGAAAUCUGGUAGCCUUCGGUUGCCCGAGUUGUAAUCUAGAGAAGUGUUUUCCGCGUUGGCCCAUGUACAAGUCCCUUGGAACAGGGCGUCAUAGAGGGUGAGAAUCCCGUCCUUGACAUGGACCCCCAAUGCUUUGUGAUACACUUUCAACGAGUCGAGUUGUUUGGGAAUGCAGCUCAAAAUGGGUGGUGAAUUCCAUCUAAAGCUAAAUAUUGGCGAGAGACCGAUAGCGAACAAGUACCGUGAGGGAAAGAUGAAAAGCACUUUGGAAAGAGAGUUAAACAGUACGUGAAAUUGUUGAAAGGGAAACGAUUGAAGUCAGUCAUGCUCUUUGGAUUAAGCCGUUCUGCGGUGUAUUUCAUUGAGCGGGGUCAACAUCAGUUUUGAUCGCUGGAAAAGGGCAGGAGGAAGGUAGCACUCUCGGGUGAACUUAUAGCCUCUUGUCGUAUACAGUGAUUGGGACUGAGGAACGCAGCAUGCCUUUUGGCCGGGAUUCGUCCACGUACAUGCUUAGGAUGUUGACAUAAUGGCUUUAAACGACCCGUCUUAA